UACGUAGGGGGGCAAGCGUUGUCCGGAAUCAUUGGGCGUAAAGAGCGUGUAGGCGGCUCGAUAAGUCCGCUGUGAAAGUCCAGGGCUCAACCCUGGAAGGCCGGUGGAAACUGUCGGGCUAGAGUCCGGAAGAGGCGAGUGGAAUUCCCCGGUGUAGCGGUGAAAUGCGCAGAUAUCGGGAGGAACACCAAUGGCGAAGGCAGCUCGCUGGGACGGUACUGACGCUGAGACGCGAAAGCGUGGGGGAGCAAACAGG
rnacentral:rRNA from 1 species